GCGUAUCAGCCUUUUGGGUGUGAUUAUGUGGAGCGUGAGGAGCUAAUCGCCUUCAUCUUUGCAUUUUCGUGCACUUUGGGUGUACUUGCUCGCGUGGUAGGUUAACAUCAAUUUUGAUCAUCAUAAAAUGAUUGAAGGAAUGUAGCUUCGAUCUCGUAUUGAAGUGUUAUAGACUCUGGUAGAUGUGAUGAUCGGGAUUGAGGAUUGCAACGGAUACCCUUCGGGGCUACCCGUCUGAUCUCUGAGAGUUACUCUGGUGCCGAAAGCGUGCUUACGGUAUCAAAGUUGACGUUCAAUAGGUUAGAACGGGUUAAAUUCGUUAAGGAUGUUGACGUAACG
rnacentral:rRNA from 1 species